rnacentral:rRNA from 1 species
CGGUGGAUGAUGUGGAUUAAUUCGAUGCAACGCGAAGAACCUUACUACCCUUGACAUGUCCGGAACUUGCCAGAGAUGGCUUGGUGCCCGAAAGGGAAUCGGAACACAGGUGCUGCAUGGCUGUCGUCAGCUCGUGUCGUGAGAUGUUGGGUUAAGUCCCGCAACGAGCGCAACCCUUAUCAUUAGUUGCUACGCAAGGGCACUCUAAUGAGACUGCCGGUGACAAACCGGAGGAAGUGGGGAUGACGUCAAGUCCUCAUGGCCCUUAUGGGUAGGGCUUCACACGUCAUACAAUGGUCGGUACAGAGGGUUGCCAAGCCGCGAGGCGGAGCCAAUCCCACAAAGCCGAUCGUAGUCCGGAUUGUUCUCUGCAACUCGAGAGCAUGAAGUCGGAAUCGCUAGUAAUCGCAGGUCAGCAUACUGCGGUGAAUACGUUCCCGGGUCUU